rnacentral:rRNA from 1 species
GACGAACGCUGGCGGCGUGCUUAACACAUGCAAGUCGAACGGAAAGGCCCUGCUUUUGUGGGGUGCUCGAGUGGCGAACGGGUGAGUAACACGUGAGUAACCUGCCCUUUACUUUGGGAUAACUUCAGGAAACUGGGGCUAAUACCGGAUAGGAGCUCCUGCUGCAUGUUGGGGGUUGGAAAGUUUCGGCGGUUGGGGAUGGACUCGCGGCUUAUCAGCUUGUUGGUGGGGUAGUGGCUUACCAAGGCUUUGACGGGUAGCCGGCCUGAGAGGGUGACCGGCCACAUUGGGACUGAGAUACGGCCCAGACUCCUACGGGAGGCAGCAGUGGGGAAUAUUGCACAAUGGGCGGAAGCCUGAUGCAGCAACGCCGCGUGCGGGAUGACGGCCUUCGGGUUGUAAACCGCUUUCGCCUGUGACGAAGCGUGAGUGACGGUAAUGGGUAAAGAAGCACCGGCUAACUACGUG